rnacentral:rRNA from 1 species
UGAGGAAUAUUGGUCAAUGGGCGAGAGCCUGAACCAGCCAAGUCGCGUGAGGGAAGACGGUCCUACGGAUUGUAAACCUCUUUUGUCGGGGAGCAAUAAAGCGUACGCGUACGCAGAUGCGAGUACCCGAAGAAAAAAUGCAUCGGCUAACUCCGUGCCAGCAGCCGCGGUAAUACGGAGGAUGCGAGCGUUAUCCGGAUUUAUUGGGUUUAAAGGGUGCGCAGGCGGAAAGUGCAAGUCAGCGGUCAAACGACGGGGCUCAACCCCGUCUCGCCGUUGAAACUGUCUUUCUAGAGUGAGCGAGAAGUAUGCGGAAUGCGUGGUGUAGCGGUGAAAUGCAUAGAUAUCACGCAGAACUCCGAUUGCGAAGGCAGCAUACCGGCGCUCAACUGACGCUCAUGCACGAAAGCGUGGGUAUCGAACAGGAUUAGAUACC